ACACACAAUGGUUAGUGACGGAUACGUAG
rnacentral:piRNA from 1 species